rnacentral:pre_miRNA from 1 species
AGUGGGAUAACUGGAUCAAAUUGUGGAUCCAUUCCAAGUUUUCUGAGGAAUAUCCAUAUUGCUUUCCAGAGUGGUUGCACCAAUUUGCAGUCCCACCAGCAAU